rnacentral:pre_miRNA from 1 species
CGGGGGAGGCCGGAUCCUGGGCUGUGUCCCGGCGCCCUGUGCUCUGGGGCCUGCGCUGUUGGAUUCGCGCUUCCGCCCUGCAGCCCCCU